rnacentral:tRNA from 1 species
GCGGGGUUGCCCUAGCCUGGUAGGGGGCAGGCCUGCUAAGCCUGUGGUCGGUAACGGCCGCGCGGGUUCAAAUCCCGCACCCCGCG